AUUACCGCGGCUGCUGGCACGGAGUUAGCCGGUGCUUCUUCUGCGAGUAACGUCAAUCGCCAAGGUUAUUAACCUUAACGCCUUCCUCCUCGCUGAAAGUACUUUACAACCCGAAGGCCUUCUUCAUACACGCGGCAUGGCUGCAUCAGGCUUGCGCCCAUUGUGCAAUAUUCCCCACUGCUGCCUCCCGUAGGAG
rnacentral:rRNA from 1 species